UUGCUCAGUGGUCCAAAGUCCUCUUUUCUGAUGAGAGCAACUUUUGCAUCUCAUUUGGAAACCAAGGACCCAGAGUCUGGAGGAAGAAUGGAGAGGCACACACUGCAAGAUGCUUGAAGUCCAGUGUGAAGUUUCCCCAGUCUGUGUUGAUUUGGGGAGCCAUGUCAUCUACUGGUGUUGGUCCACUGUGCUUCAUUAAGUCCAGGGUCA